rnacentral:lncRNA from 1 species
ACAGAGAGAGACCAAGAGAAAAAGGGAAGUAGAGACAGACAGAGACAGAGAAAAAAAGGGAAGUGGGAGACAGAGAGAGACAAAGAGAAAAAGGGAAGUGAGAGAGACAGAGACAGAGGAGACAGAGAGAGAUAGAAAAAGGGAAGUGAGAGACAGACAGAGAAAAAGAUACAGAGACAGAAAAAGGGAAGUGAGAGAGACAGAGAGAGACAAAAAGAGAGAAAAAGGAAGAGAAAGACAGAGAGACAAGAGGGAGAGACAGAAAUAGGGAGGUGAGGGAGACAGAGACAUAAAAAGAGGAUGAGACAGAGAGAGAAAAAAAGAGGAAGAGGAGAGUGACAGAGAUAGAUACAAAGAAGGAAACCACAGUCUUUUUAUAACCUAAUCUCAGAGGUGACGUCACCCUUUUGCCAG